rnacentral:lncRNA from 1 species
CCUUUCAUCUGAUCUUGUUAGCCGACCAGGUUUCGCCACCAUUAACCCUUGCUGCAGAAGUCGUGGAUGGAGCCCGACUCUCGUAGGAGUCUGGCUGAAGUCUUCCUUGUAGGUGGAACACGGCUCCCGUAGGAGUCCGGGUGAAGUCUUCCUUGUGGGCGGAACCCGGCUCCCGUAGGAGUCCGGGUGAAGUCUUCCUUGUAGGCGGAACCCGGCUCCCGUAGGAGUCCGGGUGAAGUCUUCCUUGUAGGCGGAAUCCGGCN